AUAGUUCUUUUUCGUUUGAUAAUCCAUUUUCCACCUAUCUUUAUAUAUUAUAUUUCCUUUUAUGUCAUUUCUGAAUUUCUUAGGAUCUCUAAAAUUGUGUAUAAUAUUUAUUUUUCUAAUUGAAAAUACUGAUAGGAUAGCAUUGGAAAUGUAAAUGAGUUAAAUACCUAAUAAAAAAUGGAAAAAAAAAAAAAAAGAAAAUACUGAUAGGAAACAUGGUAGAUCUUUUAAUUAUUUAAUUUAGGAACUAAAAGACUUCAAAUAUAACACAGUACAGCCUUUAUUUAACCAACUUUUUCUUUUCCUCCAUUUUUUAUUUUUAUGUAUUUUUAAUUGGAAAUAGAUUUUUUUUCACACAAGAUAUUAUUAUGGUAUCUUUUCUUCCUACUCCUCCCAGUUCCUCCCCACAUCUCCUUCCAUCUUGAUCCACCCCAAAUCCUUAGAAAACAAGCUGGCAUCUAAGGAAUAAUAAUAAAGUACAUUAAGAUAAAACAAAACAAAACAAAUUGGAAUAGGACAAAACAACUAAGUGAGAAAAAGAUCCAAAGAAAAACCACAGGAGACGCACAGUUGAGAGACAUGCAUGAAUCUCAUAAAAACGUAAGACUGAAAGCCAUACUAUGUAUGUGAAGGACCUAUAAGGUGAAACAAAGGAUGCCCUGAUGUAACUUUAUGAGAGAGAGCAUCUCCUAAGAUCCCAUUGAGUUUGUUUUGUCCCGGCCAUCUAGGCUGGGCAUGGGGCCUACCUUCAAGUGGUUGGUUUUCCCAGGGAGACUCCCUUGGAGAAAACUCAUUUUUUAUUUGCAAAUGGCUAUCAAUUGGAGAUAGAGUCUUGGUGGAAGCAUGUGUCCACUUUCAGCUCUAGGAGCCCAUCUGGUGCAGCCCCAUGCAGGCUCUGUGCAUGCUGCCACAGUCUCUGUGAGUUCAUCUGUGUGCAGUCCUGUUGAGUCUAGAAGGCCUUCACUCCAUCUCCUCUGCUCUUAUGCUAUCUCUGUCCCCUCUUCCAAAGAGUUCUGCCCUGAGGAGAGGGAUCUGAUGAGAGACGUUUCUUUUGGGCCUGAGUGUUCCUCAAUCUUUCACUUUCUGCAUAUUGUCUGUCUCUGGGUCUAUGUAUUUGUUUAUAUCUGCUGCAGAAAAAAAAAAGCUACUCUAAUAAUGGUUGAGCAAGGCAUGGGUCUAUGAGUACAGCAGAGUGCCAUUUGGAGUCAUGUAUUGCUAUGUUCAUUUCGCAGAGCAGUAGUGCUUGGUUUUCUCCUAGGCCCCUGGCCUGUCUCGUCUCAGAUUCUUGGUUACCCAAACAGAAUUGGGUAUGGCUUUUAUCUCAUGAAGUAGGCCUUAGUUCAAAUUAAAUAUUGGCUGGUUAUCCCACAGGGUUUAGACCACUAUUGCGCUAGCAUAUCUUGUCGACAGGUUAUCAUUAUAUGUCAGAGGUUUGUAGCUGGGUUGUUGGUAUUUACCUUUCUCCUCUGGUGGUGUUCAGAGUACCUCCUGUACUGUAAACUAUAUCAUGGAAGCUAGUUCAUAGGGAGGAAGACUCUAGAUCAGCACCAGCUUGACCUCUCCAUGUUCAAUGACUUGUGUAGCUGUUUCCUUUCAGUUUGUGGAAAGCCAUCAUAUCAACCAUAUCCAUCCAGACUAUUUGCCUUUCCUAGGGAGAUCAGUCCCUCCUUGCUAGUCCCUUAUUCUCUACCUAGCCUCUGUGGUUAUAUGAGUAUUUAGCAUGUUUAUCUUUGACUUAAAUGUAAUAGCCACAUAUAAGCAAUUACAUAUACAUUUGUCUUUCUGGGUCUGAGGCACCUCGCGCAGGAUUUUUUUUUUUCCCCUGCAUUUACCUGUGAAUUUCAUGAUUUCACUUAAAAAAAACCAACAAAACAAAACAAAACAAAACAAAACAAAACAAAAAAACAGUUGAGUUAUAUUCCAUAGUAUAAGCGUACCGUACUUUCUUUACCUAUUGAUCUACUGAAGAUCCAUACAGGUUGUUUCCAAUUUCUGGCAAUUAUGCAUAGAACAAUAAUGAACUUGGCUGAGGAGGUGUCUCUGUAGUUGAAUAAAGUGUCUUUUGAGUAUAUGCUCAAGAGUGGUUAUUUCUGGGUCUUGAGGUAGGUGAAUGACCAUCUCUUCAGGAACCAUCACACUGAUUUCCCUAUGGGAAGUACAAGUUUAUUUAUUCAAGUGCUUCUCAGCCAUUUGAAAUUUCUCUUUUGAGAAUUCUCUGUUUAGAUCUGUACCCCAUUUUUUUUUUUUUUUUUCUUGGAGUAUUUUUGAGUUCUUUAUAUAUUUUGGAUAUUAGUCAUUUAUUGGGUGUGUAGUUGGUAAAAAUCUUUUCCCAUUUGUAGGCUGCCACUUUGUUUGAAUGAUAGCGUCCUUUGCCAUACAGAAGCGUUUCGGUUUCAGGAGAUUACAUUUAUUAAUUGUUAAUUUUAGUGCCUUUGGCAUUGGUGUUCCGUUCAGAAGUUCUUUUCCUGUGACAGUAAGUCCAAGACUAUUCCCCACUUUCUCUUCCAUGAGAUUUAGUCCAUUUUAGUUUUAUGCAGGAUGAUGAGUGUGGGUCUCUUUGCAUUCUUCUCCGUGCACAUGUGCAGCCAUUUAGUUUGACCAGCACAAGUUGUUGAGAAGUUAUUUUUCACCUUGUAUUUCUGGCUUAUUUAAAAAAAAAAUCAGGUUUCUGUGUUUAGACUUAUUUCUGUGUCAUUGAUCAAUAUAUCUGUUAAACCAACCAUUUAACAAGUUAGAAACACCUCAUUACAAUCAAGAACAAGGCACUGUUUAGCAUUUUUCUGGAAGUAGUAACAAAUCUAAUAAGAAUGAGAAAUAAAAAGUAAUGGAUUUUAGGCAAAAUUAUAUAUAUUAUGACUGCCUAAUUUAAAGAUAACUUAAAAUGCAAUUAUUUAAAAGCUAAUGGGUAACUAGUUAAGUUAAGGUAAGAAACAAGUUUGGAUUGGAAGGUAAAUGCUGGAAGAGUCCCACAGGAAGAAGAGCUCAGGCUGCUACAGAGGAGGCUCAGCUGUCUGCCUCACAGACAGGUUCUCACUGAACAACCUGUGUCAGCACAGAGGCAUUCCUAGCCAUCACAAGGACAUUAAACAUGUCUUAAAGGAUGAAAAUGAAACUUCAUUAUUAAUAAUAGAGUCUUAUUACACAGAAUUCAACUGAAAAUUAGUACAUAUGGUAUGAAACAGGAGAAUGUUACAUAGUCAGAAGUGAAAUCUGUCAGGAGAGAAGCAGGCAGAGAACUAGUCUGACCUCCAAGGCCUGGGAGCAGGUUUUGUAAACAUGGUGAAGUCUCUAGAGGGAAGUGUAACAAUGAGAAGAGUGACCUAUAAAAGGGCCCAGAUGGAGCUCCUAAAGCUAAAUCCAUAGGAAGCAAAUUCACCUGACAGAUUUAACGGUUUUUACUAUAGCUUGAAGAUCUGUGAAUUUGAAAGUAAAGCACUAGAAAUCACCAAAUAAAAUC
rnacentral:lncRNA from 1 species